GACGAACGCUGGCGGCGUGCUUAACACAUGCAAGUCGAACGGAAAGGCCCUGCUUUUGCGGGGUGCUCGAGUGGCGAACGGGUGUGUAACACGUGAGUAACCUGCCCUUGACUUUGGGAUAACUUCAGGAAACUGGGGCUAAUACCGGAUAGGAGCUCCUGCUGCAUGGUGGGGGUUGGAAAGUUUCGGCGGUAGUGGAUGGACUCGCGGCUUAUCAGCUUGUUGGUGGGGUAGUGGCUUACCAAGGCUUUGACGGGUAGCCGGCCUGAGAGGGUUGCCGGCCACAUUGGGACUGAGGGACGGACCAGACGGCAACGGGAGGCAGCAGUGGGGAAUAUUGCGCAGUGGGCGGGAGCGUGAUGCAGAGACGCCGCGUGCGGGAUGACGGCCUACGGGUGGUAAACCGCUUUCGCCUGAGACGAAGCGUGAGUGACGGUAAUGGAUAAAGAAGCACCGGCUAACUACGUG
rnacentral:rRNA from 1 species